rnacentral:rRNA from 1 species
AUGAAGGUCCGACGCGGCGGCGCCGGCUUCCCCUUCUCCAUCGGCUGCAUGUCGCAGUCCGCCGUAGCCGUCGCUGACCCGCUCCACAAGAAGUCGCAGCCGCCACAGCCAGGAAAGCAGGCCGACAACCCCUCCUCCACCACCACAACCAUGGCGGCCACCACACAGGACAGAGGCGCCGGAGAAGAAAGCGGCGAGGACAAGGCCAAGGCCGCGGCGGCGUCCGGGAUCGUCACGGCGGGGGUGCAGCGGCUGCUCAAGGGAAUCAAGACCUUCUUCGCGGCGUACGACAGUGAGGAAGAAGAUGAAGAGGAGAGGGAGAUCGUGAUCGGGUACCCCACGGACGUGCAGCACGUCGGGCACAUCGGCUGGGACGGGAUCAACAAGGUGGGCGGCAUGGGCGUGGGCAUGGUCGGCGCCUUCUCCCUGCCAUCCUCCCUCUCCCUCCGCCAGCUCGACAUCGCCAUGGACCCCGGCGCCGCCACCACCACCUGCAUCAACUGA